AUGGAACUUUACUACGACGUCCUCACAACGUUGCCAUAAAGUAAUGUCACACUGACCAAAUGACGACUUACUGACGACGUCGUCACAACGUACUGUGUUAGCUGGGAGGAUAUUGUUUAAUAUAACUCUAAUUGUUUUCAUCUAAGAGAAGAAUGUCAUAUUGCCCAUUGUAAUAUAUAUCCCAGUAGUAUUUUAAAUGAUAUAGUUGAUUCUAUAAACAACUAUAUAAGAGAUCAUUUUCGUCUUUCUCCGGCGUGGUGAAGAGAUGAGUCCUGUGGUAAGCGAAACCGGAAGUGUCCGACCGCACACACUCACGGAUCAGAAAUCCAAAAUGGCGGCCGCACGUGCAACUAGCGGAGAUGCUCCACUGAUGAUUGACUGUGUUGCUACUGUUAUAUCUUUUUUGCAGGUAAGAUUACUUCCCAGAUAGCACUGAACGUCUUGCCGACGUUGGCAAUUGGAGGGCACCAGCGGCAAAGUAUCGGGAGGGGAUUUUCCCCUGCACAACAAAAAACUUUGGUGGGUAAACCAUCGGCGGGCCGCGGGAUGAAUAGCCACUUUCAUGCACAACUCCGGAGAUCGGUGGAGGAACCGUGAUGAACCAUUUUGCCGAUCCCGCUUCUAUUUUUUUAAAUAAAUAAUAUCUGCGCAACCGUUGGUCCACAUCAAGACCUUCACGCGCGUGCACACGUUUUUAUGACGGUGCGCUAUGCGCGUGAGUGAUCUCAGCAUCGUCUACACUACAGCCUACAGCUAAGUCUACAGCAACGGACUCUGAGCUACAUACACCCCAAAGGCUCUUUUCAGAGCCCAGGCCCAUUUUGCACAGCGUCUUUGCCUUUGUACAUGUACUUGCCGCGUCAGCACACACGACGGCUGGAACUACAGUAUGGUCUUCCCAGUGGACCAGCACCACAUCCAUCUGGAUUGAGACGAGUAGGGGACAUCUCUAGGGUCUUCACAUAUUGAUACACACACCAUUGCAACUUGGAUCGCCAUCACCACCACCAUCCCCUGCAUCAGACACCCUAAAUCGUGCCCUUCAUCAGACACCCUACAGUAAAUGCACCACAAACAACACAGGCAAAGAAGAAGAAAACGCACGACAAAUCUCCUCCAGCCCAUCCCACAUCAUCGUAUAGUAAAGUGACGCCGCCGGAUAAUAAUGACGGCCUGUGUGCUUUGCAGCCUUUUCCAGGGAUCCUUCAGAGGACUAACAAUGGUGCUGUGUUAAGAAAUCCUACCCAACAAAAUUCCACUGAGGCAGAUGUAGAGAUGACUGCGAGAAACUGGCUGCGGCUGAGGAGGGACAGGAAGCAAGAGGGCGAGCAUCUUAAAGUGAAAUAAUUGAUUGGACUGAUUUUUCCUGUUUACCUAUUUUGGAGGGAAUUUCUUUUUGUUGUUGUUGUACUUUUCUAUGUGUGAUUUGAUGAGUGUUAAAAUAAAUGAUACUGCUUUUGCAAAAACAAAAGUAAAAAAAUAAA